UAGGGAAUCUUCGGCAAUGGGGGCAACCCUGACCGAGCAACGCCGCGUGAGUGAAGAAGGUUUUCGGAUCGUAAAGCUCUGUUGUAAGAGAAGAACGUGUGUGAGAGUGGAAAGUUCACACAGUGACGGUAACUUACCAGAAAGGGACGGCUAACUACGUGCCAGCAGCCGCGGUAAUACGUAGGUCCCGAGCGUUGUCCGGAUUUAUUGGGCGUAAAGCGAGCGCAGGCGGUUUAAUAAGUCUGAAGUUAAAGGCAGUGGCUUAACCAUUGUUCGCUUUGGAAACUGUUGAACUUGAGUGCAGAAGGGGAGAGUGGAAUUCCAUGUGUAGCGGUGAAAUGCGUAGAUAUAUGGAGGAACACCGGUGGCGAAAGCGGCUCUCUGGUCUGUAACUGACGCUGAGGCUCGAAAGCGUGGGGAGCAAGCAGG
rnacentral:rRNA from 1 species